rnacentral:rRNA from 1 species
CCAGACUCCUACGGGAGGCAGCAGUGAGGAAUAUUGGUCAAUGGGCUUACGCCUGAACCAGCCAAGUCGCGUGAGGGAAGACUGCCCUAUGGGUUGUAAACCUCUUUUGUCAGGGAGCAAAGUCACCCACGUGUGGGUGUUGGAGAGUACCUGAAGAAAAAGCAUCGGCUAACUCCGUGCCAGCAGCCGCGGUAAUACGGAGGAUGCGAGCGUUAUCCGGAUUUAUUGGGUUUAAAGGGUGCGUAGGCGGGCUGUUAAGUCAGCGGUCAAAUGUCGGGGCUCAACCCCGGCCUGCCGUUGAAACUGGCGGCCUCGAGUGGGCGAGAAGUAUGCGGAAUGCGUGGUGUAGCGGUGAAAUGCAUAGAUAUCACGCAGAACCCCGAUUGCGAAGGCAGCCUUCCGGCGCCCUACUGACGCUGAGGCACGAAAGUGCGGGGAUCGAACAGGAUUAGAUACCCGCGUAAA